rnacentral:lncRNA from 1 species
CAAUAAUCAACAAGAUGAACAUACACAGUACAUUCCCCAUCAGAGCAUGAACAGAAAUUCAUGGCCAGCUCAAGCAGUUCUCUGUCUGUCAGUGGUUCAGGAGGAUGAGAAGACACUCAGAGCCACGGCUGGAGAAGCAUGGCCUCCUGUUCUCAGUCUGGAAAGCUAAAACAAGCACAGAAUACUAGAACACUAAAAAGUUUCUUCUUAAAAAGAACAAAUGGAAUACCUGCCCACAGUCACUGGUGCAAAAGGUGUGCUCCCUGCCAAGGCCAAGCAAGUCCAGCAGUGUGACUCAAUAUGGAAAAGGCAAGGUAAGGACACAGCCAAAGGGUGCCACUUGCAAGAAACAGAC